UGAGGAAUAUUGGUCAAUGGACGGGAGUCUGAACCAGCCAAGUAGCGUGAAGGAUGAAGGCUCUAUGGGUCGUAAACUUCUUUUAUACGGGAAUAAAGUGAACCACGUGUGGUUUUUUGUAUGUACCGUAUGAAUAAGGAUCGGCUAACUCCGUGCCAGCAGCCGCGGUAAUACGGAGGAUCCGAGCGUUAUCCGGAUUUAUUGGGUUUAAAGGGAGCGUAGGCGGGUACUUAAGUCAGUUGUGAAAGUUUACGGCUCAACCGUGAAAUUGCAGUUGAUACUGGGUGCCUUGAGUGCAGUAGAGGUAAGCGGAAUUCGUGGUGUAGCGGUGAAAUGCUUAGAUAUCACGAAGAACUCCAAUUGCGAAGGCAGCUUGCUGGACUGUAACUGACGCUGAUGCUCGAAAGUGUGGGUAUCAAACAGGAUUAGAUACCCUGGUAGUCCACACAGUAAACUAUGAAUACUCGCUGUUGGCGAUACACAGUCAGCGGCCAAGCGAAAGCGUUAAGUAUUCCACCUGGGGAGUACGCCGGCAACGGUGAAACUUAAAGGAAUUGACGGAGUGUCGAUA
rnacentral:rRNA from 1 species